AACUAACACAGAUAUUAUUAACAGGUUGAAAAGAAUGUUUUAUUGAAAAAUACAAAACACACUGUGACAUAGAUAUACACUAGCCGUUAACAGCUUCACGACUGUGUGGUUAUACCUUAAAGAGUCACCAUGGCUACGCAACGACCUUGGAUAUUACUCCUGCUUGGAUGCCUGUUGUUGGACUGCCUACUCUCGCGGGCCGCCGCUCUUCCGGUAGGAGAUUUCGGGGACGGCAUCCAGUCUGAGAUCAAACAUCCCGGGAACGCAGAGUUCGGACGACGCGUGGAGCCGGUUACCAAACCUCUCGUAGAGCAGAUCUGGGGCCGCUGGGUGCCGGGGGUUACACGGUCUCCGGGGUCGGGUCGCUGGGAAUGGGGGCCGGGAUGGACCAGGCCAGUGAGGAUCGGGUUGAUGAAACUGGAACGAUUCAUCUCUUUACUGCUGUAGCAUAUGACUUAUAGCUUUUUAUGUGAUUCAUGCGGGUAAUGCAUGUAUUUAUAUAUCAGGAAAGGUAUACACGGUGCUAGCUCCAACAAGAUAGUUGAUGAUAUCUCCGGGUGGAUUGAGUGUGGAAUGAACCCACGGGGAUCCGUGCCAUCCCUGGCGAGAAAAAUGUGAUGAGAUUUGCGAAAUAAUAACUAGUGCAUUAGCGUAUUGAUCACGGCACUAUUUUGAGCGCUGGACUAAGACUGUGUGACAAUGACCGACCAACAAUGGGCUAAGAAUUAAUGCAAGUCUGAGGUAUUUGUUCGGCAGCUGCUUAUUUCAAACAUCGACAUGUACUUGUCGGUAUUGUGUUGUUUUUCAAAGUUUAUCUACUGCUAUGGAAUACAGCUACGACUGACUGUUGUACCUUAAGCUGUAGCUAAUUUAUAACUGUGUAUUUUAUAAUCAUAUUCAGCUAUAGCUAUAAUUUCGAAUACAGCUGUGGCUUAAAAAUUCAGUCAAAGCUAUAUAUUUAAAACUGCAGCUAUUUUUGUCUAACUGUUGUUGAUAGUACACAUUUGAGCCGCUUGGUACCCAAUAUAUAUCAAAGCGUUUGAAAAAAAUAAUAAGAUAAAUAAUAAGAUUUUCUCAGUUUUUGAUUUAGA